AUUGAACGCUGGCGGCAGGCCUAACACAUGCAAGUCGAACGAGUGGCGGACGGGUGAGGAAUGUCUGGGAAACUGCCUGAUGGAGGGGGAUAAGUACUGGAAACGGUAGCUAAUACCGCAUACCAUCGGAUGUGCCCAGAUGGGAUUAGCUAGUAGGUGGGGUAAAGGCUCACCUAGGCGACGAUCCCUAGCUGGUCUGAGAGGAUGAAGGGCCACACUGGAACUGAGACACGCUCCAGACUCUUCCGGGAGUCAGCAGUGGGGAAUAUUGCACAAUGGGCGCAAGCCUGCUGCAGCCAUGCCGCGUGUAUGAAGAAGGCCUUCGGUUUGUAAAGUACUUUCAGCGGGGAGGCGUUACCCGCAGAAGAAGCACCGGCUAACUCCGUGCCAGCAGCCGCGGUAAUUC
rnacentral:rRNA from 1 species